UACGUAGGGUGCGAGCGUUAAUCGGAAUUACUGGGCGUAAAGCGUGCGCAGGCGGUUUUGUAAGCCAGAUGUGAAAUCCCCGGGCUUAACCUGGGAAUGGCAUUUGGGACUGCAAGGCUGGAGUGCGGCAGAGGAGACUGGAAUUCCUGGUGUAGCAGUGGAAUGCGUAGAGAUCGGGCGGAACACCAGCGGCGAAGGCGGCAUCCUGGCCCUUACCUGACGCUGAGGCGCGAGAGCGUGGGGAGCAACCGG
rnacentral:rRNA from 1 species